rnacentral:miRNA from 1 species
AGAAGAGAGAUAGCACAACCU